CAGGCGACGAAUGCCACUGAACCUUGACUCCCUCUGCACCUGCCGCAUCAAUGGUCAAUAAAUGUACGAUACAGCACCUCUCCAAUCAACUUGAGAAAGAUCCCCCAUAAAAAGCGCACUUCAAAAUGUCGAAAGCUAUUCAUUGCCAACGUUCAUUCACUUUUCAAAUGCGAUUUCUCUGUGAUGUUGUUUGGCAAAGUGCAAAUUGUAGGUGGAAUAAUGCUUUUUUAAUUUGGUACAUUGAUUGGGUGAAAGUGAAUGGGGUUGACGAACUGUAGGGUAGCAAAGCAACGAGAGUUCAACCUCUUGAUUUAUUCUUUUGAUCAAACUCUGGUAUGUGUGUGGCUUUAUCUCAAAAGUGGCUCUCAACCGCAUUCCAUUUAUUUUCUUCAAUCACACUGGCCCUCAAUUUAAGUUUCUUCAAUUGGAAAAUUUGGCUAUAUUGAGAGGAACAUUUAAUAAAUUCACAAGAAAACUCCGGUAAAGUGGAAUGAUUCGAUGGCUCUAAUAGAAUUCAUGAAUUAUUUUCAAAGACGUUUGAAUUGGAAUUCUAAAAGGUGCAAAUUAAUCAUAAAAGUUUCAAAAUGUUGAACUUUGUCGUAAAAGACUGAAGAAUUACAAAGUUAGUCUCUCACGUCUCUCAAGAAGUUCCAAGAAAAUCAUGUGCAGAAUUGUUUGUACAUAAUAUAGAUCUAUGUCCUAUAUCGCGAAUUAUUAAGUCUUAGAAAACUUUAAGUUCAAACAUCUAAUGCUGAAUAUUUUAAUAGGAAAAAUGAAUAAAUAAGAAGAGAAAACUCCUUUGAAAGCUCGCUUGAAACUUAGGUUCCUCAUGAUAAAUCCUUGAAAUGAAAGAAACCAAAGUUUGCCAAGAAGCUAAAUACGGAUAAAACGUUAAAAUCAUAACGGAAAAUUCUCAGAAUAUUUUAAGAAUGUUCUUUGUCAAAUUUCUAAGCUCUUAUUGAAAAUAUAUCAAGAAUUGACUUAAAAAGCUUCAUAAAUUUAUAAUUUUGCCACUCUGCAUAACACCGUAAUUUCUACCUUUGUUUGAUUAAUCUUCCCAUUAAAUCCAUUAAUCUAAUAUUAGGUAGGUACAUAAAAUAUAGGUAAUAUAUUGACAUCCUUAAGGAUACCUAACUUUUGCUUCAAUAUCCCAAUACGCACAUAAAUACACAGCAUAUAAAUAUAAAAUAUAGCAAUAUCAUAAAUUCCAUAUAUGUAGUUUUGGAAAUUUCAAUUAGUCCUAAAUUAAUCCCCAACUUAUACAGCAUAGAAUUAUUAUGUUUCCUCUUACACAGCUAAAAGGGGUUUUAGUUGACAUUAAAGGGAAAACCUAUGCGAGGAAAGGGAGCGUAAAUGAAUUCCUUUACAUUUUGCACGAGAAUUACAAAUUACACAUGACAAACUCACAGGUCGGGUUGAAUUUACUUUCGCCCCCCCACCCACCAACUGUUUGAUUUUGAUGUGCGGCGCUCCCCUUCAUUUUGGGGACGAAGCUGUGUAUUAGAGGGUUGGAGGGUUAAUUCCCGAUUAUUGCAAUAUAUACUGCUUCGUCCUGGCGAGCACCACGAUAGCGACCGGCCGUAAAUCUGCCGUCAAGCGCGCGCGGGGGGUGAAUACGGCAACACUGCAAAGCUCGCUUGGAAGCUUGGUAAAAAGCCACGGUGGCUGCUGGUGGAAAUUGAAUGAGAUAUAUACGGCAUCUAAGUCGAGCGCAAUUAGAAAUGGGUCUUGGUCGUGAAAUUUACUACUUCAAAGGAGUAUACUCCACAAGACAAAGUUUUCCUCCCUUCAAUAAAUAUUAUAUACAAACAUAUACAACAUACAUACAUAGUAUAGGAGCGACAUGGGAAAAGCCAAAAAGCCCCAUUUCUCAUUUGGUGUUUAAUAUUGCAAAUGGAGAGGUACUCUAGAGAUAGAUUGACAAUAAAUUUCUAUAUAUUGAGAGUAAAGAUAGUUUCUAUGAAACAAUCCCUAAAGGACUUUCUCUGACCGUAUAGAGCUUUUGUUCUUCCUAUAUAUUGUUUCUCGGAAGGAAGAGGAUGUAAUUGGAAGUGAAAUUACCAUUUAGAGAAUCAAUUGCAUCGCCUCUUCUGUAUCACUUGCCCCCAUACCAGAGUAUCCAAAUUGCUCCUUAAUGGGGAAAAUGUUCAAUGAAAAUCUUCCCUCACCCAAAUGAAUUGGAAAAGCCUUUUGAAAUGGAUAAAUUUGUGGUCUUCCUCACUGCGAAAUGUGCUGCAAUUUGAUUCAUGUGGAUUUAGAAAUCAAUUGGAUUGAUUCAAAAGGAUAAUUUAUCCAUAUUCUUUGUGUUAAAAUGUAGGAAUGAAUCCUCUUUCGAAUGAUUAUGUGGAUUUCUUUCUCUUACAAUUAAUUAAUGUGAAUCUCAAAGCUUUUAAAAGCUCACUCUCUUAUAAUCCAUGAAAAUUCAUUAUCUUCUCUCUCAAUUGGGUAAAUUAAAUCAUUUUUCCUCUCAAAAUGUGUUUUAAUAAAUCACACACACACACACACAAAUUGCAAUGCUCAUUUAUUCUUUUUAUGCUAGGUUCACAGGCAAAAGGUCAGUUAAAAGACAUCAAACUCCUACGAAUCCUGUGCAAAUUUAAUUCGGUAGUGCUAAGUAAAUGUUUUAUUAUAAAAUUGUUACAAUUUUAAAUCCUCUGGUCUCUCCCACCCCCAACGAACACCCUUAAAAAUUUUCCAUAAACCAACUGUAAUAUGAAAGCAUUUAAUUAUUCAUUUGAAGUAUGUUUAUUUACCUCUCAUUUUGCUCUGCAAAUAAUUCCAAAAAUAAAGUUUCAAAAUGUGUGUAGUGUGAUUUUCUGGGGAGCCACACCCCGCCCUCAAGGUCCAUAGAAAAUGUGAAACAACAUUUCCCCGGCGUAGGGGGCUUAUUCUCUCUCCUGGAAAAUGUUUUCAACGUAGAAAACACUCCCCACACCCGCCUAAGUUUGAAUUUCCACCUGCCUCAUCUUGAGCAGGUUCCCUUGAUUGAAGAUUUCUUUCGGAAGAAGGAAGUUUUUGGAACACACAGACCCAUUUGCCGAAAAUGCCCUUUAUUCGCUUACGGGCAUUAAGUUAUUCCACACCGCAUUGCCGCACGCACCCUCCACCCUGCAAGAGAAAGCUUUUGAAUUAAAGAUCAAUCGGAGCGAUAACGCACACAAAAGUAAAUUAAAGUUUAUGGUGAACAAAGAGCCCCUCAAAAGUUCAUCUCAACUGAAUCUCAACAGACCAGCAAACAAUACCACCAAGAGGGAAUAUAGGAGACGGGUCAUGUAUAUAAAUUUGAGACUCAACCACAAAGGGAGAUCUUUUGGUUUUCACCGCAAAACACACUCCUCAAAAGAAAUGGAAGGACGGGGGAGGGAGAAAAAAGGCCAAGAAAGUGGGUGGGAAAUGAACGAGGGGGUGGUAGCUACUCUGCCAUGGGGAAUCCAUAGGGAGAAGACCAUCCAGUAAUGUAUAGUCACAAAAAUCCCAGAGAAUCAACUUGCACGACACAACAUCUACAUUACCGCCGGGUUCGUCCCUUUCUUCAUAAACAACACCCUGUGGUGGGACAAAAAAUUCGCCACCAAGCUGAAAAUCACUUUUCACCGAGGGGGUGGGAAAUUUAUCUGUGUAUGUAGGAGAGAUGAGAUUGCAAGGUGCCUGAGAAAUUGAUGAGGUACAAAUACAGAGUUGAUUUUUUGUUGUACUUUUUUGCUAAUUAAUUAUUCGUUAAAAUAUUUUUACAAAAUGAAUCCCUAAUUUUCAUUUUACGGAUUUUUCUUUGAAUUCUUUAAAAGAUUAAUAAGAGUUAUAGACCAAGAAAAUUAACAUGUUUUCUAACCUCAACCUCAAAAUAAUUAAUUGGAUACAUGUAGUCUCAAUUUUUUCAGGAAAGCCCCAAAAUUUGAUUCUGAUUGAUUUCCCGUUGAAAUUGGGGUCAUACAGGUUGAGCUAACUGAGCAUUCCCAUUUUCAUUUUCCGAUAUAUUUUUCCAAGAAUUUGAAUAAAAUUGAACAGGUAGCGCCACGAGUGGCCACAAAAAUAAUUUCAAGUU